rnacentral:rRNA from 1 species
AUCUUCCGCAAUGGACGAAAGUCUGACGGAGCAACGCCGCGUGAGUGAUGAAGGUUUUCGGAUCGUAAAACUCUGUUGUUAGGGAAGAACAAGUGCGAGAGUAACUGCUCGCACCUUGACGGUACCUAACCAGAAAGCCACGGCUAACUACGUGCCAGCAGCCGCGGUAAUACGUAGGUGGCAAGCGUUGUCCGGAAUUAUUGGGCGUAAAGCGCGCGCAGGCGGUUUCUUAAGUCUGAUGUGAAAGCCCCCGGCUCAACCGGGGAGGGUCAUUGGAAACUGGGAAACUUGAGUGCAGAAGAGGAGAGUGGAAUUCCACGUGUAGCGGUGAAAUGCGUAGAGAUGUGGAGGAACACCAGUGGCGAAGGCGACUCUCUGGUCUGUAACUGACGCUGAGGCGCGAAAGCGUGGGGAGCGAACAGG